rnacentral:rRNA from 1 species
UGCAAGUCGAACGAGACCUUCGGGUCUAGUGGCGCACGGGUGCGUAACGCGUGGGAAUCUGCCCUUGGGUACGGAAUAACUCGGAGAAAUCCGUGCUAAUACCGUAUAAUGACUUCGGUCCAAAGAUUUAUCGCCCAAGGAUGAGCCCGCGUAAGAUUAGCUAGUUGGUGGGGUAAAAGCCUACCAAGGCGACGAUCUUUAGCUGGUCUGAGAGGAUGAUCAGCCACACUGGGACUGAGACACGGCCCAGACUCCUACGGGAGGCAGCAGUGGGGAAUAUUGGACAAUGGGCGAAAGCCUGAUCCAGCAAUGCCGCGUGAGUGAUGAAGGCCCUAGGGUUGUAAAGCUCUUUUACCCGGGAUGAUAAUGACAGUACCGGGAGAAUAAGCUCCGGCUAACUCCGUGCCAGCAGCCGCGGUAAUACGGAGGGAGCUAGCGUUGUUCGGAAUUACUGGGCGUAAAGCGCGCGUAGGCGGUUUUUUAAGUCAGAGGUGAAAGCCCGGGGCUCAACCCCGGAAUUGCCUUUGAAACUGGAAAACUUGAAUCUUGGAGAGGUCAGUGGAAUUCCGAGUGUAGAGGUGAAAUU